CGGGGGAGCAAGCGUUGUUCGGAUUUACUGGGCGUAAAGGGCGCGUAGGCGGCCACCGCAAGUCGACUGUGAAAUCUCCGGGCUUAACCCGGAAAGGUCAGCCGAUACUGCGGGGCUAGAGUGCAGAAGGGGCAACUGGAAUUCUCGGUGUAGCGGUGAAAUGCGUAGAUAUCGAGAGGAACACCUGCGGCGAAGGCGGGUUGCUGGGCUGACACUGACGCUGAUGCGCGAAAGCUAGGGGGAGCGAACGGGAUUAGAUACCCCGGUAGUCCUAGCCUUAAACGAUGAAUGCUUGGUGUCUGGGGUUUUAUAGUCCCCGGGUGCCGUCGCUAACGCUUUAAGCAUUCCGCCUGGGGAGUACGGUCGCAAGACUG
rnacentral:rRNA from 1 species